UACGGAGGAUGCGAGCGUUAUCCGGAUUUAUUGGGUUUAAAGGGUGCGUAGGCGGACUGUCAAGUCAGCGGUAAAAUUGAGAGGCUCAACCUCUUCCCGCCGUUGAAACUGGUGGUCUUGAGUGGAUGAGAAGUACGCGGAAUGCGUGGUGUAGCGGUGAAAUGCAUAGAUAUCAAGCAGAACUCCGAUUGCGAAGGCAGCGUACCGGCAUCCAACUGACGCUGAGGCACGAAAGCGUGGGGAUCAAACAGG
rnacentral:rRNA from 1 species